UACGAAGGGGGCUAGCGUUGCUCGGAAUCACUGGGCGUAAAGCGCACGUAGGCGGAUUGUUAAGUCAGGGGUGAAAUCCUGGAGCUCAACUCCAGAACUGCCUUUGAUACUGGCGAUCUUGAGUCCGGGAGAGGUGAGUGGAACUGCGAGUGUAGAGGUGAAAUUCGUAGAUAUUAGGAAGAACACCCGUGGCGAAGGCGGUUCUCUGGGACGGUACUGGACGCUGAGACGCGAAAGCGUGGGGAGCGA
rnacentral:rRNA from 1 species